UGGCAUUGUUGUCCAUAUGGGGUCUCGAG
rnacentral:piRNA from 1 species